GCGCUGCAUUAGCUAGUUGGUAAGGUAACGGCUUACCAAGGCAACGAUGCAUAGCCGACCUGAGAGGGUGAUCGGCCACACUGGAACUGAGACACGGUCCAGACUCCUACGGGAGGCAGCAGUAGGGAAUCUUCCGCAAUGGGCGAAAGCCUGACGGAGCAACGCCGCGUGAGUGAUGAAGGUCUUCGGAUCGUAAAACUCUGUUAUUAGGGAAGAACAUAUGUGUAAGUAACUGUGCACAUCUUGACGGUACCUAAUCAGAAAGCCACGGCUAACUACGUGCCAGCAGCCGCGGUAAUACGUAGGUGGCAAGCGUUAUCCGGAAUUAUUGGGCGUAAAGCGCGCGUAGGCGGUUUUUUAAGUCUGAUGUGAAAGCCCACGGCUCAACCGUGGAGGGUCAUUGGAAACUGGAAAACUUGAGUGCAGAAGAGGAAAGUGGAAUUCCAUGUGUAGCGGUGAAAUGCGCAGAGAUAUGGAGGAACACCAGUGGCGAAGGCGACUUUCUGGUCUGUAACUGACGCUGAUGUGCGAAAGCGUGGGGAUCAAACAGGAUUAGAUACCCUGGUAGUCCACGCCGUAAACGAUGAGUGCUAAGUGUUAGGGGG
rnacentral:rRNA from 1 species